AGCCAUCUUGGGCGUGUGGUAUGGCAGCCAUCUUGGGGGUGUGGCCAUGGCAGCCAUCUUGGGGGUGUGGCCAUGGCAGCCAUCUUGGAAAUUGCAUCAUGGCAGCCAUCUUGGGGGUGUAACCAUGGAAGCCAUCUUGGGGGUGUGGCCAUGAUGGCCAUUUUCGGGGUGUGGCUAUGGCAGCCAUCUUGGGGGUGGAGCCACGACGGCCAUUUUAAGCCCGGGAUCAAACACGGCGUGGAUGCGGCGGCCAUUUUGAGGCGAAGACGCGGCAGCCAUGUUGUGGGCGUGGUCACACCGUCCACUUCAGGCACCUGCGGGGGAGGGGGAGGGAAAGGUCAGAGGUCAAAGGUUCAUCGGGGCGUGACCCCUCCCCCCAGCAGAUCUGGGUGACACAGGUGUGUCCCCAAUCCCAGGUAACCCAUUCCUGGCGAGUUUUUUCCCUUUUUGUUACAUUCUUCCCAUUUUUUUGCCAUUUUUCCUAUUUUUUUGCUGUUUUUCUCAUUUUUGGGUCUUUUUCCCCCAUUUUUUGGCCAUUUUUCCCAUUUUUUUUUCUGUUCUUCCCAUUUUUGUGGUUGCUUUUCCCAUUUUUUUUGCCGUUUUCCCUAUUUUUAUUCCCAUUUUUUUGGUGUCUUCCCCAUUUCCUUCAGUUUUUCCCAUUUUUUGGGGUUUUUUUCCCAUUCUUUGCCUGGUUUUGGUUGGUUUUCUCUUUUUUUUUGCCAUUUUUCCCAUUUUAUUCACCAUUUUUCCCAUUUUUUGCCUGUUUCUCCCAUUUUUUUGCCCUUUCUCCCCGUUUUUCUUGGUUUUAUUCCCAUUUUUUUGCCUUUUUCCCAGUUUUCCCAUUUUUUUUCCCCAUUUUUAGGUUGUUUUCCCCAUUUUUCUCCCUCUUUUCCCCCAUAUUUCUUGUUUUUAUUCCCAUUUUUUUGCCAUUUUUCCCAUUUUUUUCCUGUUUUUUUCCAUUUUAUUGCCAUUUUUCCUAUUUUUUGGCUGUUUUUCCCAUUUCUUUUCCUCUUUCCCCCCAUUUUUCAUAUUUUUAUUCCCAUUUUUUUGCCAUUUUUCCCAUUUUUUUGCCAUUUUUCCCAUUUUUUCGCCAUUUUUCCCAUUUUUUGCCUGUUUUUCCCCAUUUCAUUGCCAUUUUUCCCAUUUUUUGGCUGUUUUUCCCAUUUUUUUCCCCUUUCCUGCAUUUUUCUUGUUUUUAUUCCCAUUUUUUUGCCAUUUUGCCCAUUUUUUGGCUGUUUCAUUGCCAUUUUUCCCAUUUUUUGGCUGUUUUUCCCAUUUUUUUCCCCUUUCCUGCAUUUUUCUUGUUUUUAUUCCCAUUUUUUUGCCAUUUUGCCCAUUUUUUGGCUGUUUUUCCCAUUUUUUGCUUGUUUUUUCCCAUUUUUUCCCUGUUUUCCCCCAUUUUUUUGCCAUUUUUCCUAUUUUUUGGUUGUUUUUCCCAUUUUUUUCCCCUUUCCCCCCAUUUUUGGGGUUUUUAUUCCCAUUUUUUCACCAUUUUUGCCAUUUUUUUGCCGUUUAUUCCCAUUUUUUCCCCGUUUUUCCCAUUUUUCCCCGUUUUUCCCAUUUUCCCC
ensembl:lncRNA